GGGUCAGUAGGUUGGUCGUGCCACCGGUACGUACUGGUCUCACUGAUUCCUCCUUCCUGAAGAACCGUAAUGCCAUUAAUUUGGUGUUGCGGGGAAACAGGACUGUUACUUUGAAAAAAUUAGGGUGUUUAAAGCAAGCUAACGCUUGAAUACAUUAGCAUGGAAUAAUGAAAUAGGACGAUCGAUCCUAUUUUGUUGGUUUCUAGGAUUGACGUAAUGUUAAUAGGGAUAGUUGGG
rnacentral:rRNA from 1 species